GUGGGGAAUCUUGCGCAAUGGGCGAAAGCCUGACGCAGCCAUGCCGCGUGGAUGAUGAAGGUCUUAGGAUUGUAAAAUCCUUUCACCGGUGAAGAUAAUGACUGUAGCCGGAGAAGAAGCCCCGGCUAACUUCGUGCCAGCAGCCGCGGUAAUACGAAGGGGGCUAGCGUUGCUCGGAAUUACUGGGCGUAAAGGGAGCGUAGGCGGACAUUUAAGUCAGGGGUGAAAUCCCGAGGCUCAACCUCGGAACUGCCUUUGAUACUGGGUGUCUUGAGUGUGAGAGAGGUGAGUGGAACUCCGAGUGUAGAGGUGAAAUUCGUAGAUAUUCGGAAGAACACCAGUGGCGAAGGCGACUCACUGGCUCAUUACUGACGCUGAGGCUCGAAAGCGUGGGGAGCAAACAGGAUUAGAUACCCUGGUAGUCC
rnacentral:rRNA from 1 species